rfam:Arabis alpina cultivar Pajares Aa.chr4_contig_1435, whole genome shotgun sequence.
AUUCCAUGAUGUGGGCAGCUUCUAGUGUACCCCUUUAAACGCUCCCAAGUUUCACUUAAGGAUUCCUGGUUGCCUUCACUUCUGAAUUU